GACGAACGCUGGCGGCGUGCUUAACACAUGCAAGUCGAACGGAAAGGCCCUGCUUUUGUGGGGUGCUCGAGUGGCGAACGGGUGAGUAACACGUGAGUAACCUGCCCUUGACUUUGGGAUAACUUCAGGAAACUGGGGCUAAUACCGGAUAGGAGCUCCUGCUGCCUGGUGGGGGUUGGAAAGUUUCGGCGGGUGGGGAUGGACUCGCGGCUUAUCAGCUUGUUGGUGGGGUAGUGGCUUACCAAGGCUUUGACGGGUAGCCGGCCUGGGAGGGUGAACGGACACAUUGGGACUGAGAUACGGCCCAGACUCCUACGGGAGGCAGCAGUGGGGAAUAUUGCACAAUGGGCGGAAGCCUGAUGCAGCAACGCCGCGUGCGGGAUGACGGCCUUCGGUUUGUAAACCGCUUUCGCCUGUGACGAAGCGUGAGUGACGGUAAUAGGUAAAGAAGCACCGGCUAACUACGUG
rnacentral:rRNA from 1 species